rnacentral:snRNA from 1 species
UUGCUUUGCUGGCACAUAUACUAAAAUUAGAGUGAUACUGAGAUGAUUACUGUCAGCCCUGCAUGGAGAUGAAAAUCAAAUACAUGAAGUGGUCCAUAUUUUA